UUGGUGGUAUAGUGGUGAGCAUAGC
rnacentral:piRNA from 5 species